CAGCAGCCGCGGUAAUACGAAGGGUGCAAGCGUUACUCGGAAUUACUGGGCGUAAAGCGUGCGUAGGUGGUGGUUUAAGUCCGUUGUGAAAGCCCUGGGCUCAACCUGGGAAUUGCAGUGGAUACUGGGUCACUAGAGUGUGGUAGAGGAUAGUGGAAUUUCCGGUGUAGCAGUGAAAUGCGUAGAGAUCGGAAGGAACAUCUGUGGCGAAGGCGACUAUCUGGGCCAACACUGACACUGAGGCACGAAAGCGUGGGGAGCAAACAGGAUUAGAUACCCCUGUAGUCCCUGUCUAUUAUAA
rnacentral:rRNA from 1 species